rnacentral:rRNA from 1 species
ACCCGCUGAACUUAAGCAUAUCAAUAAGCGGAGGAAAAGAAACCAACAGGGAUUGCCCUAGUAACGGCGAGUGAAGCGGCAACAGCUCAAAUUUGAAAUCUGGCGUCUUUGGCGUCCGAGUUGUAAUUUGCAGAGGGCGCUUUGGCAUUGGCAGCGGUCCAAGUUCCUUGGAACAGGACGUCACAGAGGGUGAGAAUCCCGUCCGUGGGCUCUAGCCUUUACCGUGUAAAGCCCCUUCGACGAGUCGAGUUGUUUGGGAAUGCAGCUCUAAAUGGGAGGUAAAUUUCUUCUAAAGCUAAAUACUGGCCAGAGACCGAUAGCGCACAAGUAGAGUGAUCGAAAGAUGAAAAGCACUUUGUAAAGAGAGUUAAAAAGCACGUGAAAUUGUAGAAAGGGAAGCGCUGAGCAGCCAGACUUGCCUGUAGUUUCUCAUCCGGGUUUUUACCCGGUGCACUCUUCUAUAGGCAGGCCAGCAUCAGUUUGGGCGGUUGGAUAAAGGUCUCUGUCAUGUACCUCUCUUCGGGGAGAACUUAUAGGGGAGACGCCAUGCAACCAGCCCGGACUGAGGUCCGCGCAUCUGCUAGGAUGCUGGCGUAAUGGUUGU